CCUACGGGAGGCUGCAGUGGGGAAUAUUGCACAAUGGGGGAAACCCUGAUGCAGCGACGCCGCGUGAGUGAAGGAGUAUUUCGGUAUGUAAAGCUCUAGCAGCAGGGAAGAAAAUGAAGGUACCUGAUUAAGAAGCGCCGGCUAACUACGUGCCAGCAGCCGCGGUAAUACGUAGGGGGCAAUCGUUAUCCGGAUUCACUGGGUGUAAAGGGAGCGUAGGCGGCAGCACAAGUCUGGAGUGAAAUGCCGGGGCUUAACCCCGGAACUGCUUUGGAAACUGUGCAGCUAGAGUGCAGGAGAGGUAAGUGGAAUUCCUAGUGUAGCAGUGAAAUGCGUAGAUAUUAGGAGGAACACCAGUGGCGAAGGCGGGUUACUGGACUGUAACUGACGUUGAGGCUCGAAGGCGUGGGGAGCGAACAGGAUUAGAUACCCUAGUAGUC
rnacentral:rRNA from 1 species